ACAGCCAUAUAAAAUUCUGUCAUUUUAGUUAUUUUAAGUAGUCUAAGUUAUUAUAUAUUUUCAUUGCAAAGCAAUUUGUAAGAUAAUUUUUUUUUUUUUAGUGCAUUAAAAGUGUAUUCUAAGUGAGGCUAGUUGUGUAUACUUUACUAAAAGGAGAUGUUGCUUAUACCUUAUGGUGUAAAACAAAUAGAGUAAUAUGUAAAGCAUAGCUUUUUAUGGCCUUUUGAUUAAAGAUAUUUGCUGAUAAGGCCACCUAAUAGCUUCAGGCUUUGUUUCAUUUUAGUUAAUAGUUUGCUUGCUAAGGAGAUUCUUAAUGUCUUCACUUAUUUUUUUUCUUUUGUUUUAAUAUCCUUUAGUAUUGCUCUCAGCUUUCUGCUUUAAAACUUAAUACAAACAGUGAAUACUUGAUAAAACCUAUUUCUGUAGAUAACUUUAAAUACUGUAUUUGCAAACUUACCUUAUAUAUUCAGAUGAAACAGUCCUGAGUAUUUAGACUUGAUUGCAUUUUUGCAUGAAGUGUUAUGCUAAGCAAUAACACUUGAACACCAUCUGCACAUUAUCUGUCCCCAUUUUUCUAUAGCUUGCUUGAGUUAGAAAGUACAGUUAGCCUUUAUUCAUGGACCCGAGAUUUUUUUUAGAAUGUGAUGCAUAAACUUUUACAGUAGUAAGUGUGUACCUUGGAGUAAGAUAGUAUUUGAAAGCUCCAAACUUGGUUAUUGGUUUUGGUACCCUUUUCAACCUUUGCAUUAAAUUUGUUCUUGAACACACUCUCUGGUUUUUCUAUAGGAGAAAAAAAAGGUCAGUUAACCUGCCUUUGUAGGGCUCAUUUGAGAGUAUUGUGCAAACAACAGUGCUUAAACUAGGCUUUAGCACAGGUUAAACAGCCAUACAGGAUUAUAAUUGCUUCAACCAAAACAUUAGACUAUCAUUCUUUUGUCCUGGCCAAGCCAUGUAACUUGUCUUGCUUGGCUUACUUGUGCACAGCUUUCUAUUUUUUUUGUAUAGAAGGUGCUUACAAUGGAGUGCUGAUACAUAGUAGUUCUGUGACUCUAGUAAACUUCACUUGUCUACCAGUGUACUAUUCUGGUAAGAGAAGCUUAUGUCCAGUGGAAGUUUUAUUAGACUAGAUGUUGGCUCAGAUGAAGUUCCCUUGGUAGGUGUCAUGAGGUAUGGAAUGAAGAAGGUAGAAUGAGAUGCUCAAGUAGAACCUGGAGAGGUAAUGGGCACUCCAGUAGAAAAAAUAAUGUAGAAAGCUCAAAGUUAGCUGGCUCAUAACUACAGUGAAGAAACUUAAUGUUAGUGGAAUUGGAAAAGAGGUGUUUUUUUGUUUUGUUUUUUACUUCAGUUAAUAGAAGGAACAUGAUGAAACAACAUGGAAAUUGACAUUUCAAGACAAUGUAGUAAAUGUAAAUUCAUUGCUUCAGCUGUGAUCAUCCCAUUUGAUGGUAAAUUUAAAGUAUCUUUAAAUUUUUGUAUGGAUAAACAGGAUUUGCUAUUUGUUUAAUUCUGGGAUAUCUUAAUAUAAUUGCUUAUAUUGCAGAUAUGCAUGGAAGUUCUGUUCUGCUGAGUGUCAUAUAUAGACUGUUCCUGUUCAUAAUUCAGUACAAAUGGCUUUUCUUGCAGACAAAAUGGUACUUAGAGUACACGUGGAAGUAAGUGUCCAUGGAAGAAAAUUGUGAAAAGACUGCAGUAUGAGAUAAAAGUAAGCGCUGCUCCCUUUCCAACUGAAGUUGCAAAAGUAAGAUGCAUUUGGUUCUUGAUAUUUAUACAGGGCAUAUUAGCAAUGUUUUAUAAAUUAUAUCUAUGAUAGAACAUAGAAGGAAAAAUAAAUCUGAGUUCUUAAAGUACAUUGUGUGUUAAUUCAACUAUUGUGUAUGAUGUUACUCUUAUGCAGAGAUGUUCAUAUUGAAAUUAAACAAAUGCAGUAUUGAGUUUGAUAUUUCUGUGAAAGGAAAUACCCAGUUACGUACUUGUGAUCUGUUAGCAAAAAAAAAAUAACUAAUUUUGAUAACUCAAAUGUCAUACUGUUAAUCAUGUGGAAUGUUUAAUGUUCUGGUAGUAUCUACUGCAGAGAGACCACUGGAGAUAUGAGCCCUCCAACUGUAUCUGGUGGGUUUUUUGUUUUUUUUUUAAGUAGCUAAAUGGCAUAUGUGUAAUAACAAUUUGAGUACCUGGAAAUAAAUGAAGACUUCUGUUGAUAUAGUGUUGUUUUUAAUAGAAAUUCAGCUGUGGAAAUUUUUCAUCAAUUGUUACGAAAACUGCUGUCUGUUUCUUGCAACUGUUGUAAUUUAGAAAUUUGAACACUUAAUCAUAUUGUACUUGGUCCGUGUAUGUGGGUGGAAGUUGGUUUGUGUAACCCAGAAGGAUAGAAGUUUUUGGGUAGAAGAACAAGUGUCUUGUAAAUAUGGAAGCAGCAGAUAAGAAUGCAUUCUCAAACAUUGAAUUGAAGUGUUUGAAAAGUCAUUGCUGUUAAUAAAAUGGAUGGCUGUCUUUUCAGUGGUUUUGAUAUUACAAUAAAUAUCGCUGUAGACUAGACAGAAAAAAAGCUGUUCACUUGCUCUUUAAUAGCUAACUUGGUUAGUUGUAGGCUCCUUUAGGGGAAUAUUUUUUUUUCAUGUGCUUGGUGUUAUUGAUCCAUAGGGAA